rnacentral:rRNA from 1 species
AUGAUUGAUGAGGUAAAUUCUUACAUCAUGGGUAGAAUAGAAGGUGAAGAGGUAACAUAUCGAAGCUCAGAUACACUGUGCAAAGCAAUGUCAAAUUCGGAAGAUGUAGAUCAUUUGUACCCAACAGAAUUCCUGAAUAGCUUGAAGUGCCCUGGAAUAUCAGACCACAUACUACGGCUGAAAGUAGGCCUACCAAUUAUGCUGCUACGGAAUAUCAACCAAAGCAAGGGCUUAUGCAAUGGUACGAGACUAACUAUAACACAGCUAGGCAAAUGGUUCAUAGAAGCUCAAAUAAUAACAUGGACAAACAUUGGAAACAAGGUAUAUAUUCCAAGGAUAAUUAUGUCACCAAAUGACUCAAAAUGGCCGUUUGUGUUGAAAAGGAGGCAGUACCCAAUAUCAGUUUGUUUUGCAAUGACGAUAAAUAAGAGUCAAGGGCAGUCGCUAAAACAUGUGGGCCUAUAUUUACCGAAGCAGGUGUUCACUCAUGGCCAACUCUAUGUAGCGGUAUCAAGAGUCACAAGUAGAGAUGGACUUAAAGUUCUAAUUUCAGAUGAAGAAUCUAAGGAAAAUAAUUCGGCAAAAAACAUUGUGUACAAGGAGAUCCUUUAG